UCGCGCCUGCGCAGUGGCCCUGGGAGCACUGCUCCGCCGGCUUUAGGCCGCCCCGCUGGUGGUAUCCGCUUGUUCCUGGGCACGGGUCACUGUCUUGUAUUUCUGAUCGGACUGUAACUUUUCAGCGCCGUGCCCAGAGUAGCCGCGCACACCUGGUUUGUGCCCACCCACUCUCGCGCUUGCUGCCCGCGUCUCCCAGUUGUGACCCCAUUGAGUCCCCGCUAGUGGCCGCUUUCCGCUGGCCCGCGGUGGAUGGCGGGGCGGGCUGGGCAGCAGCCUUCCUCCUGGAUUUACCAGAUGCUCACUGUUGGAGGACUCUGCAGCAUGGAGGACCUAGAACCAAGACUCAAAGAUGGAAACAACUGAGGAUCAAUCCAGAGACACCAGACCUGUCUCCCCCCAAUAAGAGGAAUUCAAAAGAAGAAGGGAAAGAAGAUGGCCCAGAGACCCAAUAGUGAAGCUACCCUCGGGGAAGCAGCCAAAGAAUCUGAUGCUGCAGGCUGAGCAAAUGACUCCGCAGCAAGGAAAAACUAAGUCUCUAACUAUGAUGCUCGUCACAAUACUAGCUCUACUGAGCUGCGAGGAUGUUGUGCCUUCAGGACAAGAAUCCAGGGACUCGAGAUAGUGACUCGUCACCUGCUUUUUCAAAGAAAGAAGGGGAAAUAUGUGGGGAGCUGCAGCUUUGAAUGACCAUGCCUUCCAGGCCUGAUGCACCAGUCUCCCACCACAUUUGUUGUGGCUUGGGCAUUGACCCAGCUCGGACAGCAAGACUGUCUUCUUUGUAGGAGUGCCCCUGGCGUUGAGUUACACUCACCUGUUCCCUUGAAAUCCUACCCCUUCUGCCCUUUUAUGGAUGGAACCUUCUAAGAACAGUGUCCCCCCCAAGAAAAGCUGACUUCCGAACGUGCUCGCUUGCUCUCUCGCCAUCCUCUCGCGACUUUCUCUUGCUCUCCCUUUUUGGGAACCUGAGGCUGAGAGCCAGGGAAGCUGUCCUGAAGCUUGUGUAAAGGUAAGUUGUGUCUGUAUUUUGUUCUGUGUCCUGCGCUAGUCGGGGGUGGCAUUUUGUGGCCAUGCAGGCUGGCACAGCAGCUCUGAGUGAGCUCCCCCAUGUAUACCCUCCAAUGUCAGCGUUCUGAGGGGCUCCCUGCCCUGACCUGUGCAGACAGAUCACCAGAGCACAGGCCCAGGCAGGCGGCCACUUGCCCUGCCUUCCCUGCCUCAUCCUGCACGUGCCGUUCAGCUUCUCACACCCACUAACAGUAUGAUAAAGCAUUUCCAGAAUCUCAUGUUUCUAAUCCCAAGUUUGUCUUUAGAACUUUGUAUUAAAAAUAUAAAUAAUUCCCAUUAAGUUCAUAUGAGUCCACAAACAUGAACCUAUUUACAUUUCGUGAAGGCAAUGUUAGAAAGUCCUCACUGUGGGAUCCUGGCCCAUGGCACACAAGUGCCUGCCGGGUGCUAGCAGGUUGGCUCGCUGUCCUGAUGGGCUGUGUGCUUCUCAACGGAAAAGGGAGACCCCGUGACAACAUCCCAGCACUUUGGAUGCACUCCCAUGUCCUAGGCCAGGUGACAGAGGUUCCAUCCCUCUGGAAGGUCUCAACCAAGACAAUCGGGAGCUGCAGUGGCAGUGGGCUCAUCUCCGGCCCCUCCCAGCAGGUGCAGACUGUCCUCAUCGGAUGCUCCCUCAUCAUCCUCAACUCCCGGCAGGUCCAGGGGGCGUUUCACACCCUGCUGCUUGGAGAUGGCCAGAGCAUACCGCAGGUUGUAGCGGUUCCAGUCACAGCUGUGGGCACAGGGCAUCACGUCAGUACAGGCAUCAGCUCCACUCCACCAGCACCCCGGCCCACCUGCUCCACAGGAUCCUCUGCUUUCCCUGCCCAGAUCUGGGUUCUGCCCAAACGAACGGCCUCCCUGCCAGGCCCUCGCACUGGUCAUUUAGAGAGUCAAUUGGUCACAUCACACAUUCCUGACACCAACAGCUCCCAGGAAGAUAGCAAACCGACUCAGUGAAGGAUCACUGGGGCAACGAGCUGGCUAGGCAGGGUCCUCCCCCAGACCCACAGUCGGGGCACACCAGCAAAUCAGCAACAAGCCACCAGAUGAGGAAUGGCACCCUAAAGCCCAGCCUUCCUGCGGGGAAGCCUUGAUGCCAAGGAAGCAGAGGCAUUUGGAGGAAGGGCUUGUUCUAGACUCUGAGCCCCAUUAUAAAGACGGGGGACAGCUCAAGGAUAGAACACCACUGGGACCAGACUCGAGCCUUGGCCCAGGGACCCAGACAGGGCAGGGAACAGACCUGUCACCAGCCCAGAUGGGCACCAAAGAGAAGCAGACAUCCUGACAGGGCAAGCUGGGAGAUGCAGUCACGUUGUCUAAGAGAAGGGGUGGCCUUGCAGAGUACCUUCAGUGUCCAAGCACUGUCCAAGCCUCUUAGAUAAACUAUCAUCAUCAACACCAGGCACCCUGUCACCAGCCAGCUCCUACUGCUCAUGCAGAAGACAUGCAAAUCCAGGACAGACACCCCGUCCUAGGACUGUGACAAAUGCCUGAGGUGGGAGGUUCAAGCUGCACCUCAGGCACACCCCUUCUCUGCUCAGCUCCUUUAGCACCAGCUGCAUCAAAGCUGUGCUUCAAACCCAGCAUGGGUGGACACUCUCCAACUCUGGGACCUACUGUGCCCAGGUCAGGUGCUGCAGGGAGCAGUCCCAGGCACGGAACCCAUGACAAGAACUCGAACCCCACCCUACUGCCAGCCCCGCACGUACAGCUUUGCCAGAUCAUCCAGGUGCCGCUGCAGGCUCUUCUGAAGGAACUGGACGGCAGGCAGCAGCCGCCCUGCACUGGAAAGGAGACACCCUCAGAGUGCGGUGGUUACUGGGGGGCAACACCAGGCCCCAGUGAAUGCUGCUCUUGAACACAAAGCUCCCCAUCACCACCGGGAUCAGCUGGCCAUGUGAAAGGUAACACCAACAGCAGGGAAGCCCAGCCUACCUGGGCUUCAGCUUCUGUCCAUGGGACAUGAGCAACUUCUGUGUCCAUAUGAGGUAGAAUUCAAGGUGACGAGAUACUUCAAAUGAGGAAGCUAAAAACUCAAGUGCCUUUUCUACAUACAGCUCAGGAAGAGAAGCACUGACAACUUCAACUGCAAAAGAAAAGCUACGCUUAUUCUGUGACGAACCAAAGUAGCAAAGAGAGCAGUACCUCAGGCCCCUGAGCUUCCACCUGACCAGGCCCCUGCUCACUGUCUUCCCGUGGCACGGCCUCCAGGACUUCUUGUACCAGCUUCUUCUCGUUGAGCCGGAAGGCCAUAAGGAUGGCCCGAGUGAACUCCUGCUGGUGCAGGGCCUCCCGUACCCGCCCAGGGGUGAUGCUGGUGUCCAGCUCAUAUGGGUCGAAGAGCAUCUGGGCAUCCAGGGAGAAGAUGAGGAGCCCUUCUGUGCUGGUGGCUGCCCAGCAGCGCCCUGGGGGAUGAAGAGUGAAAGAGAUUUCUCAAUCUUUAAAAGAAAGGCAAGAUGUUAAAUACAUGCUCACGGUCCAAACACCGAAGUGCAGGCGGGCACCGGGACAUCUUCCUUUUGCCACCCUGCCCCUGGGGAAGGAACUGCCUGGGUCACCCUGGAGGACGGCACCCCAGGCCUACUGCCUGCACACGUGAGCAAGGACACAUGUGCCUGUUCCCUCUGCUUGCACCAGGAGGCUGUAAACUUUUCAGUAUGAGAGAAGCCAAAUGGUCCCUGCUGUAGCUGCACAGUGCCUGGGACACAAUCACAAGUUGCAGGAAUGAACAAACGUGAUUGUCUCAGGAAAACCUGAGCUACAAAACUAGCAGGCUGGCGGGUGUGGUGGUAUAUGCCGGUCUUGCCAGCGACUGUGGAGGCUGAAGCAGGAGGAUCGUUGAUUUCAAAGCCAGCCUCAGAAACUUAGCAAGGCACUUAGCAAUUCAGUGAGACCCUGUCUCUAAAACCGGACUGGAAAUGUGGCUCAAUGAUUAAGCACACUGGGUUCAAUCCCAUUACCAAAAAAAAAACCCCUAGGUGGCUGGGCAGAAGUGGCCCUGGGGUCCUCUGGUUCACAGGAUGCAAGACCCAUGAGUGGUUCUGCACCUGGCUUUUUGCUUCAUCCAUUUUGGAAAGCGCUGGCUGAUGAUCCUCACCUUGCUCUGCCCAAGGGGACCCCGUGUUCCUGAAAGGCCCAGAUGGACCCUCCUGCAUGCUUGAGUGCGCUUAAUAGCCUGAGGAGGCCGCCUCCCAGGAUGGCCCUGAGCCACCACAUAUCAAAGCUUAAUGUGCCUGGGGCUGGAGCUCUCAAUAGCAGUCCCUUCUCAGGGACAAGGAGACCAUAUGGCAGCAGGGUUCAUCACCACAUUCCCACCUGUAGGGGACAGAGUGCAGUGCAGAGCCUGAGGGCAGCGCUGACUGACCUCCUCUGGGAACACAGGUCAUGACACGUUGGGCCAACAACCCUUCACUCAGGGCUCACCAGUGGGAGAGAAGCGCAGUGAAGUCACUCUGAUUUCAGGUUUAAAGUGGCGAGAACUCAUGUCACCUGGGAAGAAAAGAACAACUGCAGUUACUGGGGAACAAGCACAUUCAGAUUGCUCCCCAGUAAUCAGAAGAUGCAUAGGAAUCCCUGAUCCACCCUGUACCCCCACAGGGCAGAGUGGCAUAGCUGUGCCUGGCAGGGAUGUGGCACCAGCACCCCACCUACUGGGUCUUCCCCAGGCACCUCCCCCAUCCAGCAAGACAUUAAGAUGCAGUAACUGCUGACUCCGUCAACUGCAGCCCCAACCAAGAGAGCAGAAACACUGCCACAAGAAAGACCAGGCGACAGGCAAGACACAGAAGGGGACCUCUGCUCACCUUUCUUCACACCUGGCAACGGAAUAGCAACCCCGUCCUCUUCCCCGGCAUCUUGGUCAAUGAGCGCCAGGUUGCCAAACUCCGUCAUCUUUCUUCGAUUCAGAAAUUCCUAGAACAGCAAGAGCCAUGAACACCUCCUCCUCAUCUCCCUCUCUUGCUUGUGUGCCAAGCAGACAAGCCACCCACAGUGGACAAGCCUCUAGCCAUGAGUGGAAUGGAGACCAGACCACAAGUAGGCCCUGAGAACACAGGACAAGGCCAAGGGGUGCUGUUCCCGGUCCCCAGUCUUCCUCCAGGGCUGGCUGCACAAAGCGCAGGGUGAAGGCCACUGGAGCCAACUGUAGGAGCCCCACUCACCCUUGCACACUGGACACCACUGCCACCAUUACAGGGACAGGCCCUCGCCCACAGCAGACAUCUGCUUGCACAUGAGGGCAGCUGCUCCCCGAGGGAAAUGUGGACACUUUCUCAGGAGCAGGAGGGUGGCUUCUGGCACCACAGAAGGCCCUCAACUCUGCCCAGAGGCCUCGGUUCUCCUCAGUCCACACCCUGCACUCCUGUGAGACCAGGGCACGAGGACCGACUUGGACCACAGUCUGAGGUGUGCAGAGGGCAGGCACCUGUGGGCAGUGGAGGAAGAGCCCUCCCACACUGCAACCAGAAGGAUGGCCCAGGUGCAGGCAGCCCACCAGCACCUUCCACCCCGACUCCUUCCCUUACAGGGCUUAGUGUAUGGCCCAAGCCAGUGCACUGGGCACUCCAGCCCUGGCAACCCGCUCAGGUGGGGUCAAACUCUAAAAGUGGGGAAAGUGCCAGGCCCUGGCAGGUACUGCAGGCAUGUGGCUCAGGAACCCGCUCAGCCAGUCACACCUGUAUGUUGAUGCUGACCUCACAGCUUGGCUGGGGCCCAGGUUGUCAGAAGCACCUAUGUCAGGGCCCACACAACUGCUCACCUCCAUGGCGUCCAGAGAGAGGUUGCAGGAGAGCUCAAACCGCUUCACCAGGAUCUGCUCCCGGACGUGGUAAAGGCACACAAACCUGGACAUGCCCCCCGCCAGGAUACUCUGGCCGUCUGCAGAGUAGCACAGAGUGGUGAAGGCCCUGGGCAGAGGACAAAGGCACUCAGAUUCACACCAGGCCUCUUGACGUGCAGCUCUGAAGAAGUCAGAACCCCACACCAGCGUCCCCAAAGGGGAGCUCUCUCUCCUCUCCAGCGCCUCUGAGGCUCCCUGCCUGACCUCACGUAAGACUCUCACACCCAUGGCCUCCAACAGUGUGUGCCCCCACUGUCAGGAGAGAACCAAAUAUAUCUGCCAGGAGGCAGAACAGGACCACGUGGCUAAAACCAGUCCAUGUUGGCACAUAUAGUCACCCGCCCACUUCCAGCUCUCCCACAGCCCCUUGGUAGGUCUGCAAAAAGCAGCAGCUAUGCCCUGACUGCCCUGGGUGCCAAGACAGGGAACAAUGGCCUUGGGACAGCAACGGUUUCUGAGAUAUGACACUAAAAGAACAAGGGAUAGCAGAAAAAAAAAACAAAACAUAAAACCUGGAUGCCACCCAAAUUUGUGACACCACCACAGAAGAGGGCAGAGCCAGCAAGCGCACCACCUCUGCUGGGCAGAGGAAUACCGGCUCUGGACACUGAUGCACCCGAGCAGACUGGCUCUAUCUAAGGAAAGGACGUUGGUGACAACACAGGGAAAAGGGACCUGGUGCGUAACUGGUGGGAAUGCAAAACAGGGCAGCCACUGCAGAAACAGCCUGGUGGUUCCCCACCGACACAGAACCAGGCUCGGUGGAUGCCUGCCAAGCACCUGGAAGGCAGCUGAUGUACAGGAGGGUCUGCUCUUGUGCAGGGCGGCUUUGGGCCUUUUUGUUUUAAACACCAGGCUGAUGACAUCAUUGGAGAGAGGGAAGUUUGGAGUUGGUUCAGACUUUGGGCUGUGCACAUUCACAUUCAGCAAAUUAAGACCGCCUCCCCAACCCCUUUCUCCUGCAGUGGUACUCUCAAGAACUAAGAAUUACACCAGAAAGAAAGUGGCUGUAGGGCUGGGUGUGAUGGUGCAGGCCUGUAAUCGCAGCGGCUUGGGAGGCGGAGUCAGGAGGAUCACGAGGUCAAAGCCAGCCUCUGUAACAGUGACAUGCUAAGCAACUCUGUGAGACCCCGUCUCUAAAUAAAAUACAAUAUAGGGCUGGGA